AACGAACGCUGGCGGCAGGCUUAACACAUGCAAGUCGAGCGCCCCGCAAGGGGAGCGGCAGACGGGUGAGUAACGCGUGGGAACGUACCUUUUGGUUCGGAACAACUCCGGGAAACUGGAGCUAAUACCGGAUAAGCCCUAACGGGGAAAGAUUUAUCGCCGAAAGAUCGGCCCGCGUCUGAUUAGCUAGUUGGUGAGGUAACGGCUCACCAAGGCGACGAUCAGUAGCUGGUCUGAGAGGAUGAUCAGCCACACUGGGACUGAGACACGGCCCAGACUCCUACGGGAGGCAGCAGUGGGGAAUAUUGGACAAUGGGCGCAAGCCUGAUCCAGCCAGGCCGCGUGAGUGAUGAAGGCCUUAGGGUUGUAAAGCUCUUUUGUCCGGGAAGAUAAUGACUGUACCGGAAGAAUAAGCCCCGGCUAACUUCGU
rnacentral:rRNA from 1 species